rnacentral:rRNA from 1 species
GACGAACGCUGGCGGCGUGCCUAAUACAUGCAAGUCGAGCGCAGGAAAUCGACGGAACCCUUCGGGGGGAAGUCGACGGAAUGAGCGGCGGACGGGUGAGUAACACGUAAAGAACCUGCCCUCAGGUCUGGGAUAACCACGAGAAAUCGGGGCUAAUACCGGAUGGGUCAUCGGACCGCAUGGUCCGAGGAUGAAAGGCGCUUCGGCGUCGCCUGGGGAUGGCUUUGCGGUGCAUUAGCUAGUUGGUGGGGUAAUGGCCCACCAAGGCGACGAUGCAUAGCCGACCUGAGAGGGUGAUCGGCCACACUGGGACUGAGACACGGCCCAGACUCCUACGGGAGGCAGCAGUAGGGAAUCUUCCACAAUGGACGAAAGUCUGAUGGAUCAACGCCGCGUGAACGAUGAAGGCCUUCGGGUCGUAAAGUUCUGUUGUAAGGGAAGAACAAGUGCCGCAGGAAAUGGCGGCACCUUGACGGUACCUUGCGAGAAAGCCACGGCUAACUACGUGCCAGCAGCCGCGGUAA